CAAGGUUUCCAGGGGAAGGUUCGUCCGCCCUGGGUUAGUCGGGACCUAAGCUGAGGCCGAAAGGCGUAGGUGAUGGACAACAGGUUGAUAUUCCUGUACUACCGAUAACCGUUUGAGAGAAGGGAUGACACAGUAGGAUAAGCUAAGCACACUGUUGGUUAUGUGUGCCCAAGCAUUGAGGCAGUCAAAGUAGGCAAAUCCGCUUUGAUAAUGCUGGGAUGUGAUGGGGAGCGAAAUUUAGUAGCGAAGUAGCUGAUUUCACACUGUCAAGAAAAGUCUCUAUCGAGGUUAAAGGUACCCGUACCGCAAACCGACACAGGUGGGUGAGGAGAGUAUCCUAAGGCCAGCGAGAGAACUGUUGUUAAGGAACUCGGCAAAAUGACCCCGUAACUUAGGGAUAAGGGGUGCCACCAUCAGGUGGCCGCAGAGAAUAGGCCCAAGCGACUGUUUACCAAAAACAUAGGUUUCUGCUAAGUCGCAAGACGAUGUAUAGGAGCUGACGCCUGCCCGGUGCUGGAAGGUUAAGGGGAUCUGUUAGAGCAAUCGAAGCAGUGAACUUAAGCCCCAGUAAACGGCGGCCGUAACUAUAACGGUCCUAAGGUAGCGAAAUUCCUUGUCGGGUAAGUUCCGACCCGCACGAAAGGCGUAACGAUUUGGGCACUGUCUCAACAACAGACUCGGUGAAAUUGUAAUUCCGGUGAAGAUGCCGGAUACCUGCGACAGGACGGAAAGACCCCAUGGAGCUUUACUGUAGCUUGACAUUGGGUCUUGGUACUACAUGUACAGGAUAGGUGGGAGGCUUUGAAACCAGGACGCCAGUUUUGGCGGAGCCAUCCUUGGGAUACCACCCUUGUAGUACUGGGACUCUAACCAUAGGCCAUGAAUCUGGUCUUGGGACACUGUCAGGUGGGCAGUUUGACUGGGGCGGUCGCCUCCCAAAAGGUAACGGAGGCGCUCAAAGGUUCUCUCAGUACGGUCGGAAAUCGUACGUAGAGUGUAAAGGCAAAAGAGAGCUUGAUUGCAAGACAUACAGGUCGAGCAAGGAUGAAAAUCGGACUUAGUGAUCCGGUGGUUCUGCGUGGAAGGGCCAUCGCUCAACGGAUAAAAGCUACCCUGGGGAUAACAGGCUUAUCUCCCCCAAGAGUCCACAUCGACGGGGAGGUUUGGCACCUCGAUGUCGGCUCAUCACAUCCUGGGGCUGUAGUAGGUCCCAAGGGUUGGGCUGUUCGCCCAUUAAAGUGGUACGCGAGCUGGGUUCAGAACGUCGUGAGACAGUUCGGUCCCUAUCCGUCGCAGGCGUAGGAAAUUUGAGAAGACCUGUCCUUAGUACGAGAGGACCGGGAUGGACGUACCUCUGGUGUACCAGUUGUCCUGCCAAGGGCAUGGCUGGGUAGCUAUGUACGGAAUGGAUAAGCGCUGAAAGCAUCUAAGCGCGAAGCCAACUUCAAGAUAAGAUUUCCCACCGCAAGGGUAAGACCCCAGAAAGACUAUCUGGUUGAUAGGUCGAAGGUGUAAGUGCAGCAAUGUAUUUAGCUUAUCGAUACUAAUAGGUCGAGGACUUGACCAAU
rnacentral:rRNA from 1 species